UGACUGCAUUGGAUGAUCCAAAUAUAAGAAAGAUAAUCUGAACAUUAAAUUGCGAUCAUAAACUGAAUCCAUUACACAUUGAAACGCUUUGGGAUGUCCAUAUAUUCCUAAAAUGAAAAUCCAACUCCUCCGCUUUCCAGAUAAAGUCAAAAGCAGCUGGAGCAGGCGGAGCUGUGUCUGUGGUGCUUAUAAACCUUUGGUUCCCUUUUUAUUCUUUGACUUACAGUGGGAACAGUCACUUUAUCUUCAACCCUGUGAGAAAAUCGUAACUUUAAGCCAACAUGGAUGACGACUUUGACCGCCGCAUGGAGCUGAGGAGGCAGAGGAGGGAGCAGAUGCGUCUUGAAGCUGACAGGUCUGGUUUCACCAAUGAAGAAGAAGAGGAGGACGCAUUGGAGCAAAGGAGACGAGCAAGGGAGGAAAGGAAGAAGAUGAGAGACUUAGAGGAGUCUGGUGGAACUGAUGUAAACAAUACCAACAGCUUGCCAGAGAUCAACUCCACGGAUAAUGCUGGUGCUGAUGAUGACCAGGCCCUGCUGGAGCGCCUGGCCAAAAGGGAGGAGCGCCGGCAGAAGAGAAUGAAGGAAGCUUUGGAGAGACAGAAAGAACUGGACCCUACAGUUGGCACCCCCAAUGGCACAGACAGCACGCAGGAGGAGCAGUCCUCCUUUACUAACGGCAACUCACAGCAGGAUGCUCAGGAUGCAGAUGGGAAAAAGAAGUCUGUUCAGGAGGAGGUGGCAAAAACAGAUACAAACUCCUGGAGUAGGCAGGAAGAUGAGAAAGUAGAGGAUGGGAAGAAUUCUGAAGAAUCAAGCACAACACUCCCCCACAAUGAGAAGGAUGCUAACAGUACGGCUGAAGCGACAGAGGCGGAGCCUGAACAGCUGAAGUCAGAAACUAAGAAGGCUGAGGAAAAACCUGCACCUGAUGUCGACAACGAGGAGAAAGAAAGGAGCAGGGAAGAAGAAAAGGAAAAACAGCUAAAGGAAAUUGAAGAAAAACUACGGCAAGAAGAGGAGGAGGAGGAGCAGCAAAAAAUAAGAAUGGAAGAACAGCUCAAAAAGGAAGAGGAAGAACGGCAAGAAAGUGAGGAGAAUGAGAGGAAGAGGAGGGAAGAAGAUGAGAGACAACAAAUGGAAAAGGAGGAGAAGCUUAAAGAGGAGAAAGAAGAGAAACAAAGAAAAGAGAUGGAGGAGAGAAUAAAAAAAGAGGAUGAGGAGGAGAGAGAAAGACAAAGAAGAGAAAAUGAAGAAGAACAGAAGAGGGAAAUUGAAAGACUAAAACAGGAGGAAGAGGAAAAAUACAAAAAAGAGAUGGAAGAGAAGAAGAAGAAAGAGGAAGAAGAGGAAAAGCAGAGGAUAGAAAUGGAAGAGAAGAAAAGGGAAGAGGAGGAGAGGCAGAAAAAAGAGCAGGAAGAGAAGAAGAGAAAGGAAGAGGAGGAGAGGCGGAAGAGGGAGAUGGAGGAAAGGAAAAGGAAAGAGGCUGAAGAAAAAAAGAAAAAGGAGGCAGAGGAGAAGAAAAAGAAAGAUGAAGAAGAAAGACAAAAAAGGGAGAUGGAAGACAUAAAAAAGAAAGAGGAAACAGAGAAAAGAAAAAAAGAAUUGGAAGACAAGAAAAAGAAAGAGAUGGCGGAGAAAAAUAAAAAGAGGGAAGUGGAAGAGAUGAAAAAGAAAGAGGAGGUACUGAUAUUCUUUGUGCCGAUCCAUUUGAUUUGUUUGUCACACUUUACGUUUUUUUUCUCUGCACAAAUGUUUGGUUCAGUGCAAAUAUGUUUUUGA
ensembl:lncRNA